rnacentral:lncRNA from 1 species
CUAGGAUGAUGUAAGCUGGGGUUAAAUAGGUGGAACUGCUCACAGGCCAUCAUUACUGGUCCUGGAGAGCACAACCAUAAAAUUAAAAUCAAAAACUAAAACAUUAAAAUCAAAAUUAAAGUUCUAAUAUUUAAAACUUACGAAGUAUGGUUCUGGUUGUACAACCACUACAUCAAAAUAAAGGCAGCACUAAGAGGCUGUCACAUUUAGGAGAUACUUUCAUAGCACUGGCAACUCUUGCACUGGGUGACUAUUCAAGAGAGGUUUUCUUUCAUCCCAUUAGUGUAAAUCUCCAUUGCUUCAGUUAGGAGCAUGUGCUUCUCUUUUCUCAAGGGUUUUACUACUACUGCUUCAUGCCAAUUAACCUAUAUAUUUCUCUUAUACACGGACAUUGCCAAAGCUAGAAUUGCUAUUGGCAAGAUCUUUUUUUAUACUCUUUCAACCUUUGUUCUAGCACCCUAUUUGUCACCCCUAUGUAAGCUUCUCUUCUACAUGCUUCAUUAUUUGUCAUCGG